rnacentral:rRNA from 1 species
AACGAACGCUGGCGGCGUGCCUAACACAUGCAAGUCGAACGAGCCCUUCGGGGCUAGUUGCGCACGGGUGCGUAACGCGUGGGAACCUGCCCUUAGGCUCGGAUUAACUCCCCGAUAGGGGUGCUAAUACCGGAUAAUCUACUCCUACCAACGGAUGAUAGAGAUUGUAUGGGCCUGCGUUGGGUUAGCUUGUUGGUAGGGUAAAAGCCUACCAAGGCGAGAAUCCAUAGCUGGUCUGAGAGGAUGAUCAGCCACACUGGGACUAAGACGCGGCCCAGAAUCCUACGGGAGGCAGGAGUGGGGGAUAGUGGACAGUGGGCGAAAGGCUGAUCCAGCAAGGCCGGGUGAGUGAUGAAGGCCGUAGGGUUGUAAAGCUCUUUUAACCGGGAUGAUAAUGACAGUACCGGGAGAAAAAGCUCCGGCUAACUCCGUG